GCCAGGUGCCGUGGUGCAUGCCUGUAGUCCCAGCUACCAGGGAAGCUGAGGCUGGAGGAUCACUUGAGUCCAGGAGUUCUGGGCUGCAGUGUGCUAUGCUGAUCGGGUGUCCGCACUAAGUUCAGCAUCAAUAUGGUGACCUCCCAGGAGCAGGGGACCACCAGGUUGCCUAAGGAGUGGUGAACCAGCCAAGGUUGGAAAUGGAGGAGGUUAAAUUUGUGGAAAAUUUUAGCCAUGUGUUAGGCAACUGACUCAGGUUUCAGUCAUCUGCACUUCUAAUCUGCUAAUCUCU
rnacentral:SRP_RNA from 1 species